rnacentral:lncRNA from 1 species
ACACACUCCUUUCCCAGCCCAGGGGCACGCGAACAAAAUGAGGCUCAAGCUGACCAGGCCGAGCCGGAGGAACGCUGGGGCUUGGCAGCAGAAGGGAUGGGACCAGAGAGAAGGGUGUGGAGGAGACCCCAGUGAGGGCCAGGACAUUUCAGGUAAAGAGAGGUCAUAUCUCCGUACCUCACUUCCUGACACAAACAAGUUUUCACUGUUGUCAGCAACAAAGCCCUAAUAUAGCUGCGGAAGAGAAAAACUGCAUUGCAUUUUGCCUCCUGCAAGCAUCAUCAACAGUUACUGGAGGAACGUAAUUCCAGAAAGCUUGAAAGCCGUGGUGAUGGUAAUUAUGUAUCAAAUGCCUGGUUCUAUUUCUGUUAUUAUUGUUUUGUCAUUUCUGUUUUCCCAGCGAUCUGACUGAACUCGCAGAGGGACAAAUCCAGUUUUUCUUUUUGACUUUUGUCAAACUAAAUCAGGCCUGAUAGAAAACUCAUUGCUCUCCGGGGAAACAAAGUAGGAGCCACGAAAUGUCAUUUUAACAGAGCGUGGGUUUGGUGACUGUAGGAAAGGAUUUGAGGACGCUCCUUCUGUUCGGCUUCCUAUGUCAUGAGCACAGGCUCCACGCACGCACAGACACCACGGCUCCCGGAUGCUGUGGCUCCCCGAUCGGGGCUCCUGCAGCGCCAGAAGCCCCUCCGGGAUGCUUCGAGGGGCUCCCGGUGGGUGGAGGUACGGACGCCGCUGCGGCCGCCGCCGCCAGUCCUGCUGCUGUUGUUGCUGCUGCAGUCACGUGGGAGCCCCUUUAAGUUUCCAUAGAGAGGCCUCUCUGGUGUCACAUGAUGGACAUGAUAUAAUGAAACAACAUUGUGGAGAGGAAAGCAUUAGGGGAGCCCACGGCUACAAAAACAAGUGAGUGAGAAGAGGUGGGAGGAAGAGAAACUACGCCACCUCCCCUGCAGCCGAGUGCACGCAGCAGCCUGGCGUGACAAGUGGGCGACGCCGGGGGGCAGGGAGCCGGGGUCCUUGGCCCUGGCCGGGGACCCCACCGCCCACCGCGCGGAGGACAACUUUUAGCCGGCAGCCCAGACCAGCGCGGCACCUGUCUCCGGAGUCUCCACCGCUCCUCCCGAUUCAUCCCAGGGAAAUUCUCAAGAAUACGCUCUACAAAUCUACGUGCGCAUCAUUUUCACCUCGCGUCGCGCCCGGGAGGAAGGAACGAGGCAAGGAGCUAAAGCAGCGUGCGUUCAGCCCUGGGGCAUUUUAUUAAUGCUUUUACGAGUUAGAAGAGUUGGGAUAAUUUGCCAUCUGGAGUUUCUCUGCCUUGCUGAUCUGAGCUCAGACCUGCCAAUUUACCAGAGAUAAUUGAUAACACCCUGUAACAGCUGAGAGGAAAAUGGAAGAAACGGAGAUACUUUUAGUGAAGCAGAAUAAACCACUGAACAGGAAAAAUGAGGAAGCUGUGAGUACCAGUGGAAGGAACGAGCCAGGAAGAGGGACUGGAACCAUCUCAGAAGCCAUGCCCCUCAGGCUGGAACUUGCCCUGUCUCCUCGCAGAUGAGGACAAGUCCUGCGCUUGGGGAUCCUCUGUACGCCCGUUCACUGGUGAGUAUGUAUGACAGCAAUUUCUGAUUUCACUAGUUCUUGCUUCUAACACCUAAAUGGUGCUUUGUCUAGGGAAACGCUUUAAAGAGCAUUUUCCCCCAGUACGUUUAUAAUACAUUUCAUAUUUACCUCCAGAAAAUACUGUGGAUGUGAUAAUAAUUAUAAAAGACAACCCACAGACAACAAUGAAAGUUAAGAAUUAAGAUAUAUUCUGAUAGAUUUUUGCAGCAUAUUGACAUAAAGGCAGUUUUGGUUUUGACAUAUGUACACUAAAAUGAUAUCUGUAAUGCUAUUAAAACUCAAGUGUACAAGGCACCAGUAUAUUCUGGCAAAAAUAAUAUAAUGAUCAACAGUUAAUGAAAGACUUGUGCUUUGAGCUUCUAACAAAAUGUUAAUAUGUAGAGAAUCUUGUGAUUCAUGAUGCUUUGGUUCUCAACCAGGGUUAUCAAAUAAGCUAAAAGUAUCAGAAGAGGACAAAGAAAGUACGUAAAACAUGGAUAAAAGCAGAAACCGAGAAAAGAUAGCUUUGAUAUUUAAAGUGUUAGAUUAUGGCCUCUAUAUAAUGUCAUAUAUGCCAGAUCCCCCCCCAAAAUCACACCCUCAAAUUAUGAUCUUCAUUAUUCAAAAGAUGUUUGGCGUGUUGGUGGUACAGUGGUGAGCGUAGUUGCCUUCCAGAAGAUGGUUGGUGUAUAAUUACUAUAGAAUUUCUUGCUCUCUUGGGAGGUGGCUUAGUAGAAGGUUGAGUCAGGCAAGCUGGGGCUGUUUAUUCAGUGUGCUGUGCUGUGCUGUGCUGUGCUGUGCUGUGCUGUGCUGUGCUGUGCUGUGUCUGAAUGCCUGGGAGUUUGCGUUGUUAACCUUUCCAGGGUGCUAGAUCCCUUUGAGAUUAUGAUGGAAGCCAUGAAUCCUUUUCCCACACCUGUAUGCAAACAUGUGCCUGCCCAUUUACAGACCCAAAGAAGGACAUCCAUGUACCCCACGUUAAGAAGGCUGCCCUGGACUAAGCCCUCACUGUGACUCUGCUGUUCUUAAGCUUCCCAGGAAACACUGUUAUGUAAAAAGACGAGCCAUCCAGGUCAAAAAGAAGUCAUUGUGGUUGCUAGGUGGGGGUGCAAAGCCAAAGACAAAGGGUGGGGAAAAUACAUGACUAAUAAUAAAUAAAGAGCAUGGUUAAUACCAGAGUCUCCAAACUGAUAGCCCAGAAUCCCUCAACAUGUAGCCACGAGUAUUUGUAAAGUACGUUGUGAAUUCAGGUAGAGGGCCGAAGACUCAAUAUUAAGCAGUUGGGCAGAGUUUUCAUACAUAUAUUUGUCUCUGCCUUUUGCACAAUAUAAAACUAUGAAAUCUCUUUUCAUUUUUCUAUUGUGCACGCUACCACAUUAGGUAGGAAUCAAAAUCAUCUCAACUCCAGAAGUAUAAUUCAUAACAAUUAUAACAAAGCAGAAAAAUGAUUCUACAUUAGCAGAAGAAAUGUAGUAGGAAUAGAUUUAAAAUAGCAUGGUUGAGUACAAAAGAAACAUCGUUUUUUAAAAAAUGGCAGCCUUUAUCACUCAUCAGCUAAACUUAAAGUCAAUGCUGUGAGGCUGUUGCGGGAAAAAAAUAGUCAUGAUUCUUGGGUGUAUUAAAAGGAGUAUGACAUAGAAGGGUAAGAAAACAAGACGUAGUGUGUUUGUCAGACUCAUCAUUGUGUCCUGUUUGAGUCACACUUAAAAAAAGAAUUUGGACAAUUGUGAAAAGCUGAUACACAAGCAACAGAAAUUACACGCCCUUCCAGGAAAAGAUAAGGCAACUGAGGAUUUUAUUCCACACAAGGCUGGAGGAUUUUUUGCUAAUGGCCUUUAAGUAGUAACAGUCUGGUUUAUCCUUAUAUUCCUAGGGCCUUCCGCUCUGCCUGGUGCACAGUACUUGAGAUGAUCGUUGUGUUUAGUGAUAAUGAGUAAGGUUCCUGUGAGAGACUUAGCAGGAGUAAGUAGGUUCAAAUAAAACCAGCGAUAGUGUCAUGACAGACGGUAUAUAAUACAUGAAUUUGCUGGGUGAUUAAUACAUAAGGAUGACUGUCUCACUUGUGAGGAUGAUAUAAUACUUCAGCAGCUAACUGGGGGAAGCUACAAAAUCUU